rnacentral:rRNA from 1 species
GAGGAAUAUUGGUCAAUGGGAGCAAUCCUGAACCAGCAAUGCCGCGUGUGGGAUGACAGGGCUUCGCCUUGUAAACCACUGUCGGACGGGACGAAAGGAGGCCUCGGGCCUCUGGGACGGUACCGUCAAAGGAAGGGUCGGCUAACUACGUGCCAGCAGCCGCGGUAAUACGUAGGACCCGAGCGUUGUCCGGAUUUACUGGGUAUAAAGGGUGCGUAGGCGGCCUUGUGCGUCAGAGGUGAAAUAUCCGGGCUUAACCCGGAGGGUGCCUUUGAUACGGCAGGGCUUGAGUGCGAGAGAGGAUGAUGGAAUUCCUGGUGUAGCGGUGAAAUGCGUAGAUAUCAGGAGGAACACCGGUGGCGAAGGCGGUCAUCUGGCUCGUAACUGACGCUGAGGCACGAAAGCGCGGGGAUCAAAC